rnacentral:lncRNA from 10 species
UUCUUAGACCUUCAAAUGAGACAAUUUUCCUGAUUGUUCCGUUUUAAGUCCUCAUGUACUUUUACAUAAUAGGUGAAUGUUCUUCUAAUUCUAUUUCAUUAUUACUCUUAUGCUAAUCAUUCUAGGUUCAAUAGAAUUUCUUUUCUAUUAGCUCAUAAGCAUUUAAAAAGGCAACACCUUCUUGUAUUCAUAUGUGUCCAGAAAGUAUGGCCCAUAAGAGUUAUUUAGGUAAGGAUGAAGAAUUUACACUUGGGACUUGAAGCAGCUUCACUCCUGUGAAGAGGAGAUGUAUCUUGACAUCAAGCCACAUCUCUGAACUGCGCAACUCCACUAUCCCUACCCAAUCUCCCAUUCCUCAUUUCUCAUCUACCAUUAGAGAAAGGCCAGCGAAAGAGAACUUCCGGGUAGUGGGUCUGUUCCUCAGUAAUUCCUCAAGCUCUUCUCAGUAUAUGCAACUGGUUCCCCAGCAGUAGUUACCUGGGCUCUUAAAUUUUCUGGUCUCCUUCAUCCAUCUUUAGGCAUGAGAGUUAUGCACUGUCUGGGACCAGCAUUUGACCCUGCAAUGCUGAGGCUAUGUAAUUCAUUGGGACAAUGUGCCGGUUUGGCAGCGUUCGUUAUCUGGGUUGUGGAAUCACAGCAUGGCCAUUAUGAGUUAUGGAGCGAGGAGGGUGUCAUCUUAUGCUGACAUUACAUGUUGUGGUGUUGCAAGGCAGAAAAGAUGCUGGACUAUUGGUUGGAACAAUAAAAAAAAAAAAGGAAAAAAAUACAAUGAUUUAAGCCCUCCAAAUGAUAGUAUCCUGGUUUUAAAUGGCUUACAAUAUUAUUACAAGAAUAAUUAACAGUUUGAAUCCAUAUAAUAUUUUACGUGUUUUACAUAUAAGUAAU